rnacentral:rRNA from 1 species
GACGAACGCUGGCGGCGCGCCUAACACAUGCAGGUCGAACGAGCGAGAGAGAGCUUGCUUUCUCGAGCGAGUGGCGAACGGGUGAGUAACGCGUGAGGAACCUGCCUCAAAGAGGGGGACAACAGUUGGAAACGACUGCUAAUACCGCAUAAGCCCACGGUGCCGCAUGGCACAGAGGGAAAAGGAGCAAUCCGCUUUGAGAUGGCCUCGCGUCCGAUUAGCUAGUUGGUGAGGUAAUGGCCCACCAAGGCGACGAUCGGUAGCCGGACUGAGAGGUUGAACGGCCACAUUGGGACUGAGACACGGCCCAGACUCCUACGGGAGGCAGCAGUGGGGAAUAUUGCACAAUGGGGGAAACCCUGACGCAGCGACGCCGCGUGGAGGAAGAAGGUCUUCGGAUUGUAAACUCCUGUUGUUGGGGAAGAUAAUGACGGUACCCAACAAGGAAGUGACGGCUAACUACGUA